rnacentral:rRNA from 1 species
UACGUAGGGGGCGAGCGUUAUCCGGAUUUACUGGGCGUAAAGCGGGCGUAGGCGGCUUGUUAAGUCAGCUGUGAAAUCUCCCGGCUCAACUGGGAGGGUGCAUUUGAUACUGACGGGCUAGAGUGCAGCAGAGGAAGAUGGAAUUCCCGGUGUAGUGGUGAAAUGCGUAGAUAUCGGGAGGAACACUAGUGGCGAAGGCGGUCUUCUGGGCUGUAACUGACGCUGAGGUCCGAAGGCGUGGGGAGCAAACAGG